UCCGUAGGCGGGCAAUUAAGUCAGAGGUGAAAUCCCACAGCUCAACUGUGGAACUGCCUUUGAUACUGGUUGUCUUGAGUUACAGUGAAGUAGAUAGAAUAUGUAGUGUAGCGGUGAAAUGCAUAGAUAUUACAUGGAAUACCGAUUGCGAAGGCAGUCUACUAACUAACAACUGACGCUAAUGGACGAAAGCGUGGGGAGCGAACAGGAUUAGAUACCCUGGUAGUCC
rnacentral:rRNA from 1 species